AGCGAACGCUGGCGGCAGGCCUAACACAUGCAAGUCGAACGGACCCUUCGGGGUUAGUGGCGGACGGGUGAGUAACACGUGGGAACGUGCCUUUAGGUUCGGAAUAGCUCCUGGAAACGGGUGGUAAUGCCGAAUGUGCCCUUCGGGGGAAAGAUUUAUCGCCUUUAGAGCGGCCCGCGUCUGAUUAGCUAGUUGGUGAGGUGAUGGCUCACCAAGGCGACGAUCAGUAGCUGGUCUGAGAGGAUGACCAGCCACAUUGGGACUGAGACACGGCCCAAACUCCUACGGGAGGCAGCAGUGGGGAAUCUUGCGCAAUGGGCGAAAGCCUGACGCAGCCAUGCCGCGUGAAUGAUGAGGUCUUAGGAUUGUAAAAUUCUUUCACCGGGGACGAUAAUGACGGUACCCGGAGAAGAAGCCCCGGCUAACUUCGUGCCAGCCGCCGCGGUAAGAC
rnacentral:rRNA from 1 species